rnacentral:rRNA from 1 species
GACGAACGCUGGCGGCGUGCUUAACACAUGCAAGUCGAACGGAAAGGCCCUGCUUUUGUGGGGUGCUCGAGUGGCGAACGGGUGAGUAACACGUGAGUAACCUGCCCUUGACUUUGGGAUAACUUCAGGAAACUGGGGCUAAUACCGGAUAGGAGCUCCUGCUGCAUGGUGGGGGUUGGAAAGUUUCGGCGGUUGGGGAUGGACUCGCGGCUUAUCAGCUUGUUGGUGGGGUAGUGGCUUACCAAGGCUUUGACGGGUAGCCGGCCUGAGAGGGUGACCGGCCACAUUGGGACUGAGAUACGGCCCAGACUCCUACGGGAGGCAGCAGUGGGGAAUAUUGCACAAUGGGCGGAAGCCUGAUGCAGCAACGCCGCGUGCGGGAUGACGGCCUUCGGGUUGUGAACCUAUUUCGCCUGUGACGAAGCGUGAGUGACGGUAAUGGGUAAAGAAGCACCGGCUAACUACGUG